rnacentral:rRNA from 1 species
GAGUUUGAUCCUGGCUCAGAUUGAACGCUGGCGGCAGGCCUAACACAUGCAAGUCGAGCGGAUGAAGGGAGCUUGCUCCUGGAUUCAGCGGCGGACGGGUGAGUAAUGCCUAGGAAUCUGCCUGGUAGUGGGGGACAACGUUUCGAAAGGAACGCUAAUACCGCAUACGUCCUACGGGAGAAAGCAGGGGACCUUCGGGCCUUGCGCUAUCAGAUGAGCCUAGGUCGGAUUAGCUAGUUGGUGAGGUAAUGGCUCACCAAGGCGACGAUCCGUAACUGGUCUGAGAGGAUGAUCAGUCACACUGGAACUGAGACACGGUCCUCGGGAGGCAGCAUUUGGACAAUGGGCGAAAGCCUGAUCCAGCCAUGCCGCGUGUGUGAAGAAGGUCUUCGGAUUGUAAAGCACUUUAAGUUGGGAGGAAGGGUUGUAGAUUAAUACUCUGCAAUUUUGACGUUACCGACAGAAUAAGCACCGGCUAACCUGUGCCAGCAGUCAGACAAUUAAUCGGAAUUACUGGGCGUAAAGCGCGCGUAGGUGGUUUGUUAAGUUGGAUGUGAAAUCCCCGGGCUCAACCUGGGAUGGCAAGCUAGAGUAUGGUAGAGGGUGGUUUUAGGUAGAUAUAGGAAGGAACACCAGGCGAAGGCGACCACCGACAUACCUAA